rnacentral:rRNA from 1 species
UACGUAGGGGGCAAGCGUUGUCCGGAAUCAUUGGGCGUAAAGCGCGUGUAGGCGGUUCAGUAAGUCUGCUGUGAAAGUCCAGGGCUCAACCCUGGGAUGCCGGUGGAUACUGCUGGGCUAGAGUACGGAAGAGGCGAGUGGAAUUCCUGGUGUAGCGGUGAAAUGCGCAGAUAUCAGGAGGAACACCGAUUGCGAAGGCAGCUCGCUGGGACGUUACUGACGCUGAGACGCGAAAGCGUGGGGAGCAAACAGG